rnacentral:rRNA from 1 species
GCAGCCGCCGCGGUAAUACGAAGGGUGCAAGCGUUAAUCGGAAUUACUGGGCGUAAAGCGUGCGUAGGCGGUGAGUUAAGUCUGCUGUGAAAUCCCCGGGCUCAACCUGGGAAUGGCAGUGGAUACUGGCUCGCUAGAGUGUGUCAGAGGAUGGUGGAAUUCCCGGUGUAGCGGUGAAAUGCGUAGAGAUCGGGGGGAACAUCAGUGGCGAAGGCGGCCAUCUGGGACAACACUGACGCUGAGGCACGAAAGCGUGGGGAGCAAACAGGAUUAGAUACCCCCGUAGUCCCUGUCUCUUAUAC